rnacentral:rRNA from 1 species
UGGCUCAGAACGAACGCUGGCGGCAGGCCUAACACAUGCAAGUCGAGCGCGCCCUUCGGGGUGAGCGGCGGACGGGUUAGUAACGCGUGGGAACGUACCCUUUGGUAGGGAAUAGCCACUGGAAACGGUGAGUAAUACCCUAUGAGCCCUUCGGGGGAAAGAUUUAUCGCCAAAGGAUCGGCCCGCGUUAGAUUAGGUAGUUGGUGGGGUAAUGGCCUACCAAGCCUACGAUCUAUAGCUGGUUUUAGAGGAUGAUCAGCAACACUGGGACUGAGACACGGCCCAGACUCCUACGGGAGGCAGCAGUGGGGAAUCUUGGACAAUGGGGGCAACCCUGAUCCCAGCCAUGCCGCGUGAGUGAAGAAGGCCUUAGGGUCGUAAAGCUCUUUCGCCUGUGAAGAUAAUGACGGUAGCAGGUAAAGAAACCCCGGCUAACUCCGUGCCAGCCGCUGC